rnacentral:rRNA from 1 species
AAACCAACAGGGAUUGCCUCAGUAGCGGCGAGUGAAGCGGCAAGAGCUCAGAUUUGAAAUCUCACCUAGUGUGCGAGUUGUAAAUUGCAGGUUGGAGUCUCGGGUUAGACGUGUGUGCAAGUCCCUUGGAACAGGGUGCCACUGAGGGUGAGAGCCCCGUAGCGUGCAUGUCGACACCUGUGAGGCCCUUCUGACGAGUCGAGUUGUUUGGGAAUGCAGCUCUAAGUGGGUGGUAAAUUCCAUCUAAGGCUAAAUAUUGGCGAGAGACCGAUAGCGAACAAGUACUGUGAAGGAAAGAUGAAAAGCACUUUGAAAAGAGAGUGAAACAGCACGUGAAAUUGUUGAAAGGGAAGGGUAUUGGGCUCGACAUGGGAUUUACGCAUCGUUGCCUCUCGUGGGCGGCGCUCUGGGUUUUUCCUGGGCCAGCAUCGGUUUUCGUUGCAGGAUAAGGACAAUUGGAAUGUGGCUCCUCGGAGUGUUAUAGCCUUUUGUAGAUGCUGCGUAUGGGGACCGAGGGCUGCGGCGGACUCGUUUCGUCUCGGAUGCUG